CGCAAAAUGGCGACUUCGAUGUAAAGGGACCGCGGGGUAUGUAGAUAGAAAUGACUCAUUCUAAGGUAUUACAGGCUUUCCCUGUUUACAAGGACUGGAUCGUUCCUGAAAGCACCAAAAAUUCCCUUGAUCUAAGCCCCAGAUCUGUUUGAAUCCCGCUGUUUCCCGCAGCGGUCCGGCCUGAUGCAGGAGGUUCGCAAUAAUUGGAAAUGGCUUCUCUAGUUUUGGAGACACAAUCAGAUGCUACUUGCAGCUUUAAAGCGGCCGAUGUUGAAGAUCCCGUGCUUGAGAUCAAAACUACAGCGAGAGGAGCAACUUUUCCCAUUUCUUGACACAAUGAAUCGGCAUGACAUCUCCAGCUAACCCGAGGUAACAGGAGCUGACUGCUGUACUAGAGAGACGGACUCUCCACACACAGCUAGUUAUUUCUCCUCUACAUCUCUAGCUCUGCCUCUCUCUCUCUCUCCCUUUGUCUUCUCUUAGCUGCUGUAGUUUUCCACAGCACACUUGCAGUAUGUUACAAGUGAAAAUCCUGCAGCAAAAACCCAGCAGAGACAAAAACAGCCACUCCCCGGACGAGCUCUGUACAAUCCCGACACGCACAUGUACAAAUACACAUGUACUUUAGCCGUGCCAAUGCAGCACUGACAACCUAUAGCGAUCAAUACUUCUUGGCAGCGGAUGCUGAGCGCUGUGAGGAGCCCUAUAGAGGGCUGGGCAGCACGACCACAGUCUUAUAUCAUGAUAUGAGUAAUUUUAUAUCACACUGACUGUAUAUAUCACAAUAUAGUUAUUUUUAAUAAUUCAGUAAUAAUA